CCUAUAAUGAUGAUACAUUACCGCCCCAGUCUGAUCGUGGUGAUUGAUGGGUUAAUCUGAAUUCUU